GUUUGCCUUGCUGGAUUUUUUAUGUUUUGUUUUCUAACUUUUCUUCUUCAAUGUAAACAAAGAUUCUUUGGUUGGUGAUUGAGUUCAGGCCUAGGGAAUUUAUAUCUGGUCCACUUCACCCUCGUGCAUGUGCUUAAUGUUGUUCGUGAACAGGGCAUUGGUUGUUAAAAGAAUCCCGCUUAUGUCUGAUACUCCAAAGAAGCAUAUGGACAAGCUAAAUCCUUCCUCUUAUCUUGCAAGUAUGAAGAGGUUUUGGUACCAAUUCUUGAAGAUUUUGUUUCUCUUUAAAAGUUUGUAAGAAUUGGUGUGUGUUUUAUGGUGUGUGUUGCAAUGUUAAGAAUGAUAUGUAUGGUAAUUUCAGUCUUCUAUAAAGUUCAUCUUAUAAAUUU